GUGAAUCAUCGAAUUUUUGAACGCAAAUUGCGCUUCCUAGCAUCCCGGGGAGUAUGCCUGUUUGAGGGUCAGUAUUAACAAAAAAAUCUGUUUGGUUUCCAAUUGUGACGUUUCCGGAGUUUGGGCUAUCUUAACGUUUCUGGUUAAGGGGCUUAAAAUUUAUCUUUUUUCCGCAUUUUGCGACGUACGUAAAUUUUUUUUUAUUCGUCU
rnacentral:misc_RNA from 1 species